UACGUAGGUGGCAAGCGUUGUCCGGAUUUAUUGGGCGUAAAGCGAGCGCAGGCGGUUCCUUAAGUCUGAUGUGAAAGCCCACGGCUCAACCGUGGAAGGUCAUUGGAAACUGGGAACUUGAGUGCAGAAGAGGAGAGUGGAAUUCCAAUGUGUAGCGGUGAAAUGCGUAGAUAUAUGGAGGAACACCAGUGGCGAAGGCGACUCUCUGGUCUGUAACUGACGCUGAGGCUCGAAAGCGUGGGGAGCAAACAGGAUUAGA
rnacentral:rRNA from 1 species